rnacentral:rRNA from 1 species
GAUCAUGGCUCAGGAUGAACGCUAGCUACAGGCUUAACACAUGCAAGUCGAGGGGCAGCACGGUCUUAGCUUGCUAAGGCCGAUGGCGACCGGCGCACGGGUGAGUAACACGUAUCCAACCUGCCGUCUACUCUUGGACAGCCUUCUGAAAGGAAGAUUAAUACAAGAUGGCAUCAUGAGUCCGCAUGUUCACAUGAUUAAAGGUAAUUCCGGUAGACGAUGGGAGUG